UAUACGGAACGAAUACAUGAAGAAAUUGUGUUUGAAAAAAACGUGGUGCGACAGAAUGGAAUGAAAAAAAUUAUUGAACCAAUUCACAAGUUGCCCACAAGCACUGGAAAUAUCCUAAUUCAAAAACAACCGUCAAAACAUAACAUGAAUCGCAAAGAUUAGAGACUUGGCCUAAUGUUUGACGAAUGGUCACUUUAAGAGUGCGCUCUAAGAUAGUAUCCAAUCUUUUUCACGCUUAAAAGUAUGUUACCAUAAAGCCUUACUGCAUAUUACGUGUACCCGGUAAAAAGUUAGGGUUAUAAGGUAUUAAAUUAACAUGAAUCCAAUCUGAGUUCGAUUUUAGAAACUCUCCUAAAAGAUGAGCAAUGGGAGCCGAGACAUUAAUGUUUUGUAUCAUAACAUAUUCAAUUAACAAUUUCUGUAAUCAUAAACAAUGUCACGUUUAUGAUGGACAUUUUAAAACAAAUAUCCAAACGUUUUCCUACGCGAUUUUUACGUGAACCUGACACCUUGGUACCUUCACCUUUUGUAAAGUCAAUGGCAGCAUGUAAUAUGGACUCUAUAGGCCA